GGCCGCCCCGGGCGGGGCGGGGGCACGGGGGGAACGCGAAGAACCUUACCAGGUCUUGACAUACUAUGCAAAUCUAAGAGAUUAGACGUUCCCUUCGGGGACAUGGAUACAGGUGGUGCAUGGUUGUCGUCAGCUCGUGUCGUGAGAUGUUGGGUUAAGUCCCGCAACGAGCGCAACCCUUAUUAUCAGUUGCCAGCAUUAAGUUGGGCACUCUGGUGAGACUGCCGGUGACAAACCGGAGGAAGGUGGGGAUGACGUCAAAUCAUCAUGCCCCUUAUGACCUGGGCUACACACGUGCUACAAUGGAUGGUACAACGAGUUGCGAACUCGCGAGAGUAAGCUAAUCUCUUAAAGCCAUUCUCAGUUCGGAUUGUAGGCUGCAACUCGCCUACAUGAAGUCGGAAUCGCUAGUAAUCGCGGAUCAGCAUC
rnacentral:rRNA from 1 species